CCUACGGGAGGCAGCAGUAGGGAAUCUUCCACAAUGGGCGAAAGCCUGAUGGAGCAACGCCGCGUGGGUGAAGAAGGUCUUCGGAUCGUAAAACUCUGUUGUUAGAGAAGAAAGUGCGGUAGAGUAACUGUUCACGUUUCGACGGUAUCUAACCAGAAAGCCACGGAUAACUACGUGCCAGCAGCCGCGGUAAUACGUAGGUGGCAAGCGUUAUCCGGAUUUAUUGGGCGUAAAGGGAACGCAGGCGGUCUUUUAAGUGUGAUGUGAAAGCCUUCGGCUUAACCGGAGUAGUGCAUUGGAAACUGGGAGACUUGAGUGCAGAAGAGGAGGGUGGAACUCGAUGUGUAGCGGUGAAAUGCGUAGAUAUAUGGAAGAACACCAGUGGCGAAAGCAGCUCUCUGGUCUGUAACUGACGCUGAGGUUCGAAAGCGUGGGUAGCAAACAGGAUUAGAUACCCUAGUAGUC
rnacentral:rRNA from 1 species